rnacentral:rRNA from 1 species
CCUACGGGAGGCAGCAGUGGGGAAUAUUGCACAAUGGGGGGAACCCUGAUGCAGCGACGCCGCGUGCGGGAAGAAGGGUUUCGGGGUGUAAAGCCCUUUUGGCAGGGAAGAAAGAAGACGGUACCUGUCGAAUAAGCUCCGGCUAACUACGUGCCAGCAGCCGCGGUAAUACGUAGGGGGCAAGCGUUAUCCGGAUUUACUGGGGGUAAAGGGGGCGUAGACGGGGAAGCAAGGUAGGUGUGAAAGCCCGGGGCAUAACCCCGGAACUGCAGUUGAAACUGCUCGCCUUGAGUACAGGAGAGGAAGGUGGAAUUCCUGGUGUAGCGGUGAAAUGCGUAGAUAUCAGGAGGAACACCAGUGGCGAAGGCGGCGUUCUGGACAGUGACUGACGUUGAGGCACGAAAGCGUGGGGAGCAAACAGGAUUAGAUACCCUGGUAGUC